GACUCCUUUGGUAAAGUGUGUUGGUAGAUGGGAAAACAUCAUUUUCAUUGGUCGUAUCCUAGGGAUCUACCUCUCCUAGCAUGAAUGUCAUGGACAAGUCAGUGGGUACAACAGGGUAUUAUACAAGUCGUAUGAAACAUUCGAUGAAGCGAAGCACGCGUAUAGGUCUUACAGUAUAACGCACAUUGGACAAGUUAGUAACCAAGGCGUAGGACAAUGUAGUAUAAUUAUCGCAACUGUAAUAGGCUUCAUUUUUUGGAUGAUCGUAAUGUAUACUUGGCUCGAGAUAGUCAGAUAUGAGUGAUGUACUAGGUUGUCACGACUUGUCAUUUUGUAACUAAACCCAAGUUCACUGAUUCUAAGCGUAAUUCAUCCUUUCAGGAUCUACAUACUUCCCUCAUUACCCUAUUAAGAUAGAGAUUGUUUAUGAGCUGUUUAAAAUCAUAACAAGUAUUAUUGAGUCUUGAAGAUAAUUAUCCCUCACUUUGGCAAUGCUACUUAACAAUAAUAAAAGGAUAGAACAACAGCCAGCGAACGUUAGACACUGUAUUCGACAAUUGACAUUCUUCCGCUUCAUUUACGAGAGUGACUUGGCGUGUCGUGAGAGUAUUUGGAUGGAUAGAAGGACGUUUAUGAUUUUAUGCAACAUGAUUAGAAUGACAGGAUGUUUGGAGCUAGUAGAUAUGUUGGUAUUGAAGAGAUGGUGGCAAUGUUCCUAAACAUUCUUGCUCAUGAUGUGAAGAAUAGAGUAAUACACACACAUUUUUUGAGAUAUGGCGAGAGGUUUCCAGAUAUUUCAAUGCAGUUCUUAGAGCAAUAUUACAGCUACACACAGUGUUGUUGAAAACACCGGAACCAGUUACAAGUGCAUGUACUGAUGGAUGAUGGAAAUGGUUUAAGAAUUGUUUGGGGGCAUUGGACAACACAUAUGUAAAAGUGAAUGACAGUGUCGUAGAUCAACCAAUAUAGGACAAGGAAAGGGGAAAUCGCCACAAAUAUUCUUAUGGGAUGUGACCAAAAUAGAGAAUUCAUCUUCGUUAUGCCAGGCUGGGAUGGCUCGGCCGUCGAAUAGAGUCUUGAGGGAUAUAGUUGUGCGAUCACAUGGAUUGAGGGUUCCAAAGGGUAUAAAAAUCACUCAUGUAUAUAAGCAACCUUCAGUUAUUCCAUUCAUAGACAUGUAUUACAAUCCCAAAAAUGGUACAGGGUACUACUACCUGUGCGAUGUUGGCUACCCUAAUGCUAAAUGAUUUUUUGGCUCCAUAUAGAAGGGAAUGCUACCAUCUCUCAGACUGGCAUGGAACGGGAAACACACUGAUAACACCAAGAGAAUUUUUCAACAUGAAGCAUUUGUCGGCAAGAAAUGUUAUCGAGCGAGCAGUCGAAAUUUUGAAGAGCCGAUGGGCAAUUCUUAGGGGCAAAUCCUUCUACCUGGUACAGGUCUAAUGGCGAAUGAUAACUGCAUGUUUCCUGAUUCACAACUUAAUCACAAGGGAGAUGGGGAUCAGUGCUUCACAUGAUGAUUCGCUGGACGAGAAUUUUGCUUCUGCUGUUACGGAGGGAGAGAAUAUUGAAUUUAUUGAGACCUCAGACGAAUGAACCAAAUUUAGAGAUGAUUUGGCUGCCAAAAUGUUUUCUCAAUGGCAAAGAUCAUGAUUAACUUUCCUGAAGAAAUAC